CUAAGAGACAGUAUUUACCCAGUAUUUACCCACAAUGCCCCUGAGUUAGCUCUAGACCAUCUAUCUCCACCACUAAGAGACAGUAUUUACCCAGUAUUUACCCACAAUGCCCCUGAGUUAGCUCUAGUCCAUCUAUCUCCACCACUAAGAGACAGUAUUUACCCACAAUGCCCAUCUCCACCACUAAGAGACAGUAUUUACCCACAAUGCCCUGAGUUAGCUAUAGACCAUCUAUCACCACCACUAAGAGACAGUAUUUACCCAGUAUUUACCCACAAUGCCCUGAGUUAGCUCUAGACCAUCUACUCCACCACUAAGAGACAGUAUUUACCCACAAUGCCCCUGAUUAGCUCUAGACCAUCUAUCUCCACCACUAAGAGACAGUAUUUAACCAGUAUUUACCCACAAUGCCCCUGAGUUAGCUCUAGACCAUCUACUCCACCACUAAGAGACAGUAUUUACCCACAAUGCCCCUGAGUUAGCUAUAGUCCAUCUAUCUCCACCACUAAGAGACAGUAUUUACCCAGUAUUUACCCACAAUGCCCCUGAGUUAGCUCUAGACCACCUAUCUCCACCACUAAGAGACAGUAUUUACCCACAAUGCCCUGAGUUAGCUCUAGACCAUCUAUCUCCACCACUAAGAGACAGUAUUUACCCACAAUGCCCUGAGUUAGCUCUAGACCAUCUAUCUCCACCACUAAGAGACAGUAUUUACCCACAAUGCCCUGAGUUAGCUCUAGACCAUCUAUCACCACCACUAAGAGACAGUAUUUAACCAGUAUUUACCCACAAUGCCCCUGAUUAGCUCUAGACCAUCUAUCUCCACCACUAAGAGACAGUAUUUACCCAGUAUUUACCCACAAUGCCCCUGAUUAGCUCUAGACCAUCUAUCUCCACCACUAAGAGACAGUAUUUACCCAGUAUUUACCCACAAUGCCCCUGAGUUAGCUCUAGACCAUCUAUCUCCACCACUAAGAGACAGUAUUUACCCAGUAUUUACCCACAAUGCCCCUGAGUUAGCUCUAGACCAUCUACUCCACCACUAAGAGACAGUGUUUACCCAGUAUUUACCCACAAUGCCCCUGAGUUAGCUCUAGACCAUCUAUCUCCACCACUAAGAGACAGUAUUUACCCAGUAUUUACCCACAAUGCCCCUGAGUUAGCUCUAGUCCAUCUAUCUCCACCACUAAGAGACAGUGUUUACCCACUAUGUUACUACUAACAGCCUAGAGAUCACCAGCACUGAGAGGAAGUGGUCACAAACAACACACACGCGCGCGCAAGCAUGUACACUCACACGCGCGCACACGCACAGAGAUUGAGAGAAGAGGUGGAAAGAGAGCAAAAGAGAAAGAGAAAAAUGGAGCGAGAGAGAGAGAAGAUGCAAGUCCUGACAGGGGAAAGAGAUGAGAACUCUGCACAAGUACUGACUUGUCCACAAAACACGCUGCUGUCUUCAGAGUUCAACUGACUUCCUGAAAAUGUAACCACGAG
rnacentral:lncRNA from 1 species